rfam:Methanosarcina sp. MTP4, complete genome.
UACCCCUUCCAUUUGGGGUAAUCCUACUAUGACAUGCGUAGAUGGUAACGUCAGGGUAUGAAGCUCAUAGGACAAUGUAGAGAAGUUUGGAAGUCUAAUCUGGAUCAUCUG